UGCGCAGGCGGACUAUUAAGUCAGUGGUGAAAUCUCCCGGCUCAACCGGGAAACUGCCAUUGAUACUGAUAGUCUUGAGUAUAGUUGUAGUGGGCGGAAUAUAGCAUGUAGCGGUGAAAUGCUUAGAUAUGCUAUAGUACACCGAUCGCGAAGGCAGCUCACUAAACUAUAACUGACGCUCAGGCACGAAAGCGUGGGGAGCAAACAGGAUUAGAUACCCUGGUAGUCC
rnacentral:rRNA from 1 species